rnacentral:rRNA from 1 species
GUGCCCGUUAACUGGCAGUUCAAGCGAAAAACUUUGAAAGCGUGGCUUUUGUUAUUUUAGAUGGCGGACGGGUGAGUAGCGUGUGGGCGACCUACCUUUUACUGUGGAAUAAUCGUUGGAAACUACGACUAAUACCGCAUACGGUUCUUGGAUGGCAUCUUCUAAGAUAGAAAGGAGUAAUUCUGUAAAAGAUGGGCCCGCAUCUGAUUAGCUAGUUGGUGAGAUAAUAGCCCACCAAGGCAACGAUCAGUAGCCGACCUGAGAGGGUGACCGGCCACAUUGGGACUGAGACACGGCCCAGACUCCUACGGGAGGCAACAGUGGGGAAUAUUGCACAAUGGGCGAAAGCCUGAUGCAUCAACGCCGCGUGAAGGAACACGGUUUUCGGAUUGUAAACUUCUAUCAAUAGGGAAGAAAGAAAUGACGGUACCUAAAUAAGAAACCCCGGCUAACUACGCGCCAGCAGCCGCGGUAAUACGUAGGGGGCAAGCGUUAUCCGGAAUUACUGGGUGUAAAGGGAGAGUAGGCGGCAAGGUAAGCGAUAUGUGAAAGCCUUAGGCUUAACCAAAGGAUUGCAUAACGAACUAUCUAGCUAGAGUACAGGAGAGGAAAGCGGAAUUCCUAGUGUAGCGGUGAAAUGCGUAUAUAUUAUGAAGAACACCAGUGGCGAAGGCGGCUUUCUGGACUGAAACUGACGCUGAGGCUCGAAAGCGUGAGGAGCGAACAGGAUUAGAUACCCUGGUAGUCCACGCUGUAAACGAUGAGUGCUANGUGUCGGGGAGGAAUUCCCGGUGCCGGAGCAAACGCAAUAAGCACUCCACCUGCGGAGUACGACCGCAAGGUUGGAACU